ACAACCAGUAUUAACAAUAAAUUAAUAACGUAAUCACUGACGUAAAUACAAAGCAAUGCACGUGAUUGUUUAAUUGUUUAUCUUGUUUGUAAAUCUCGAGAUAAGUACACAGGAAUUGUAUUGUGCGGCGUAUUAACAGUAACAAGAUAUAAACCCAUGUGAGAUAGGAAGAAAACUAUUUGUAUAUGUUAUAUACAAUCAGACAGCUUAACCGAAGAAUAACUAAUUAUUGUACUUCUUCUUUGGUAAAAUUUACUCAAGUUAAGUUAUUUGGCUGUGCUCAAAUUUCAAAUUAAAUUCAACACUUUUAGGUCAGGUGUUGCGUCUUUAGAAUGCGGUCUGUUGUACUUUUACUUUUAUUGACAUUGAUUUCUCAAAAGAGUCAAAGUGCGGUAGGACUAAGACAAGUAGGAGAUAAAGCUGGUUUUAGUAGAGAGCUGAAUAUGAUACUAAAUCCUGAUUGUGAUUUGCCAGAAUGCAAGGGAGAAGGUAGCCAUUUCAUUAACCUAGUCCAUGUUUCAGCAAAAGGUGACUCAGAUGUAAUACAUUAUCUUUGGAGCACUUUUGGGACCCCAUCUGUGUUAAUUGUGCAGACAUCUCUUAAAGCUUCCUUACAAAUAAACUGGGAGAGCCUGCUAAAUGAAUCCGUAGCUGAAGGAAUUAUUCAGUUCUCAGAAAAACCAUACUAUUCCUUUGGUCUCAUCCUAGCACAACUGUGGCAGUUCAAUGAUACAAAGGACACCGGAAAACUUGACAUAAGUACAAAUGAAUCCUUUCCAAUAUCCUUUAUGGAAAUGAGUUGGCAGAACAUCAAUGAGACUAUGACUUGCAGUAGUGAUCAGUGUUCAGUGUCAUUUGAGACAUCUUCUGUUGAUACAGAUUACUUCUUGCCCAAUGGUUCUUUUUCAUUUCAGAUGACUGCCCAUUCAAAGGAUGGAAGAAAUAAUAUUUUACCUCAUUUGGAGCACACAGCCAGUAGUUCUCAACUUAAUAUAGUGUUGAAUGAAAUGAAAUCACAUUUUACUGGCAGUCGCUUUGCUUUAGAGUUUCUAUUUUUCUCUUCUGACGUUUCACAUGAAAAUAUUGAUCCUAUAGCAAUAGAGAGCAGAAAGUCUGUUGAUGAUGAGUACACACCUGGUGUUUUCAAAAGAUAUGUCUUGACAACUCCAUCUAGCCGUUCUAAUGGUUCUGGAGGUUAUUUACAUUGGAAGCCUGUUUGCUACACUAAUUACAAAAGAACAAUAGCUCAUUCAUCUGAUUCUAGUACCUAUGGGAUACAGUACACCAAUACCUCACAACCCUUUAGUAUUGUAAAAGCAUUUUUUGGACCUUCUGAUAACAAUUCUAUGUCAGCAUUUAAUGUUUCUUUUGGCUCUGCUGGAGAUGGAUUUUACUUAAAAACUAACUACACUUCAUGGUCAGUGGCAAUUGGAUAUGGCAGAGCCCCUCCUGAAAGACUGUCACUAAUGGUAAUCCUAAUAAUAUCCAUUGGAGUAGGAGCUCCACUGUUACUUAUGGCUAUAGGAGGACUAUACUUCAUUAUUCAAAAGCUUGCACGUAAAAAAUAUGACUUGCUUUUAAGCAGUUCAUUAACCUGAGUUUGAAGAAGCAGAAAUGAAGUAGAAUUAUUGAAAUAAUCAUGUUGAAAAAUAAAGAAAAGACAGAGAAAUUGUAAACUUCAGUUAAGGAGCAGUUUUGAAAUAAAGGAAUCAGAAUUAGACCCUGGAAAUCAAUCGCUAGAAGAUAACAUAAUUUGUAGUUUAAAUUUUUUAAACAAUACAAAAUAGAACUUGAAAUUGUCAAAGAAGAUUAAAGGAAAUAAAGGCAUACAAACUUGGCAUCAAUAUUUAUUAUUUAUAGCAUCAGAAUAGCUCAGUUUAAGAAUAAACUUUACAAAAGAUAAUUAUAACUUGUUUGAAUAGAAUGAAAUCGCAUUUAAUUCUGUUCAAAGAGGUGAAUUUGAUAUGGCAUGUUCAACAUUGCUAGUUAUGCUUAAGACAAAAUAAUAAGAAUUUUAACUGAAUAUUUCAUUUUACAUUACAUCAAUAUAUGCUGAUGUACUUGUUGUAAGCUGUAUAUUUUUAAUGUAAUUUGUUUGUUAGCUAGUUAGAUCUGGAUUUUAAUGAUAGCAUUAAGAUUGGAAGGUUUAGUAAGCUUAAAAAUUCUAGAAACUUAAGGCUGUGACUUGAGGUUUCUAGCAUAUUUAGAAAUACAUUACAAAUACAAAAUUAUUUUGAAGAAAGAUUGAUUUUCAAGAUAGAGAGUAAAUCAGUUAAGGUGUGAGCUGUCACAUCUAACUUGAACAAGUGGAUUUUAGUUGAAGUAAUUUGUAAUGUACGCCUACAACCAAUUUAUAGUUACAGAAGGAAAUAAACUCAUUUGUUAUACUUUA
rnacentral:misc_RNA from 1 species